ACAAAGCGACCAGGGUACUACAGCACAGCAUGCAUAACCGGCUCAUACCCUUCGAAUCUGCUCCGCUCGCUGGCGCUUCACUUUGCGGUUUCACCUUUAGCCUUUGUUCGAACCCAACGGCUCACCAGGCACUGAAGAUCAACAUUUCAGGAGCACCUGCACAGGACCCACCUGAGACCACCCCGGAAUGGGCUCACCAUGGUAAAGCUCUAACGGAUAUUUGACUGAUGAAUGUGUGUCACACGCAUGUCAUGCAAAGUGAAUGGCCAGAUGGGGCUACAAAACCGGCCCAACCACCUGCGAAUGCAGAGAAGAGGACCACACGAUGCAGCACUGACUUGUCUGUCCUCUGCUACCCAUCCAGUGCAGCUUAAAAGAUUUCGCAGAGUUCAACGACAAUGCAAAAGACUGUGUAAAGAUAUGGGAAACUGUCACAUAACCACAUGCUUCAAAGACACGAAAAGAAGAAGUGAAUGAAGCACAUAUGUGUAGUUGUUUCCCCAUAUUUCUACACAAUAACUCAGAAAUGGUAACACUAGCGAGCAAUAGAAAAUAUAGAGUGAUUUUUGGUCCACAACAUAUUUUGCUUUAUUCAUUAUU